AAAGAAGUAGCUGAAAAAAGAUUAUCAGAAAUGGAUAGGAAGGGUACUUUUGGUUUUCUCUUUGUGUUUCUCAUAAUCUUUGUCUCACAAAUGGAAAUGAUGCGACAAGUAGAAGCAAGAGUUUGCAUGUCUCCUAGCCAUGGAUAUCAUGGACCCUGUUGGCAUGAUCACAACUGUGCUCUUGUUUGCAGAAAUGAAGGUUUCUCUGGUGGUGACUGCGUUGGCAUCCAACGCAAAUGCUAUUGCACUAAGCUUUGUUAAUUAAUUUCUAUCUCUGCCACAUUAAACAAAUGGAGGCACUAAUUUCUAUCAGUUUCUAUUUCUCUUUUUUCUUUCCUUUUGAAAGAUGGGCUUGCUUUGCCAUCAUAUUUAUGAUGCUUGUUUGUAGCUUUUCUUAUUCAAUUCAAUGAAGAGUUUCAGUUCAUCUUGCUGAA